rnacentral:rRNA from 1 species
UACGGAGGGUGCAAGCGUUAUCCGGAUUCACUGGGUUUAAAGGGUGUGUAGGUGGGUAUUUAAGUCAGUGGUGAAAUCUCCAGGCUCAACCUGGAAACUGCCAUUGAUACUAUAUAUCUUGAAUUUUGUUGAGGUAGGCGGAAUAUGUCAUGUAGCGGUGAAAUGCAUAGAUAUGACAUAGAACACCAAUUGCGAAGGCAGCUUACUAAGCAAAUAUUGACGCUGAGGCACGAAAGCGUGGGGAUCAAACAGG